UUCCGGUUGAUCCCGCCGGACCUGACUGCUAUCGGAUUGAUACUAAGCCAUGCGAGUCAUUGUAGCAAUACAAGGCAGACGGCUCAGUAACGCGUAGUCAACCUAACCCAUGGACGGGAAUAACCUCGGGAAACUGAGAAUAAUGCCCGAUAGAACACUAUGCCUGGAAUGGUUUGUGUUCCAAAUGAUUUAUCGCCGUAGGAUGGGACUGCGGCUUAUCAGUUUGUUGGUGAGGUAAUGGCCCACCAAGACUAUUACAGGUACGGGCUCUGAGAGGAGUGGCCCGGAGAUGGGUACUGAGACACGGACCCAGGCCCUAUGGGGCGCAGCAGGCGAGAAAACUUUGCAAUGUGCGAAAGCACGACAAGGUUAAUCCGAGUGGUUUCUGCUAAAGGAACCUUUUGUCGGUCCUAGAAACACCGAUGAAUAAGGGGUGGGCAAGUUCUGGUGUCAGCCGCCGCGGUAAAACCAGCACCUCAAGUGGUCAGGAUGAUUACUGGGCCUAAAGCAUCCGUAGCCUGCUUUGUUAGUUUUCGGUUAAAUCUGUACGCUCAACGUACAGGCUGCCGGGAAUACUGCAAAGCUAGGGAGUGGGAGAGGUAGACGGUACUCGGUAGGAAGGGGUAAAAUCCUUUGAUCUAUUGAUGACCACCUGUGGCGAAGGCGGUCCACCAGAACACGUCCGACGGUGAGGGAUGAAAGCUGGGGGAGCAAACCGGAUUAGAUACCCGGGUAGUCCCAGCUGUAAACCAUGCAAACUCAGUGAUGCAUUGGCUUGUGGCCAAUGCAGUGCUGCAGGGAAGCCGUUAAGUUUGCCGCCUGGGAAGUACGUACGCAAGUAUGAAACUUAAAGGAAUUGGCGGGGGAGCACCACAAGGGGUGAAGCCUGCGGUUCAAUUGGAGUCAACGCCGGAAAUCCC
rnacentral:rRNA from 1 species